AAUAUUGUACAAUGGGCGAAAGCCUGAUCCAGCCAUGCCGCGUGUGUGAAGAAGGUCNNNGGAUUNUCAAGCACUUUAAGUAGNGAGNAAGAGUUGGAGGCUAAUACCUUGCAAUUUUGUUGUUACUAACAGAAGAAGCACCGGCUAACUUCGUGCCAGCAGCCGCGGUAAUACGAAGGGCGCAACCGUUAAUCGUAAUUACUGGGCGUAAAGCGCGCGUAGGUGGUUCGUUAAGUUGGAAGUGAAAACCCCGGGCGCAACCUGGGAACUGCGUUCAAAACUGGCAAGCUAGAGUAUGGCAGAGGGUGGUGGAAUUUCCUGUGUAGCGGUGAAAUGCGUAGAUAUAGGAAGGAACACCAGUGGCGAAGGCGACCACCUGGGCUAAUACUGACACUGAGGUGCGAAAGCGUGGGGAGCAAACAGG
rnacentral:rRNA from 1 species